CUAAUAUGGAGGGACAAGAGGCUUAGCUGGUGUAAGCCAGCUCCAGGGCAGUUGAGGAAGCACCCCAUUCCUAUCAGCUGGCCCCCAGGAGAAAGACCAGAGCUGAGAAUAAAAGAUGAAAGGGUCUCUCUCUACAUUUGAAGAUGUGCAUACCUAUGUUUGCUCCAUGAGUCGGCUCAGCAUCUAGACAUCGUGUACUAAUACCUGAACACUUUUCACAGAGAUUCUCUAUCAUUUCUGUUCAUGGUGUUAUUUGAAUGAGCAGCAGAAAACAUCUCAUCCUCUCUUAAAAUGUCAUCUUGCUGUUAUAUUUUGCUGUAUCAAGCAACAACCUGAGCAUCUGAAGAGACUUGUGCAUAAAGUUCACGGGACCAUAUGUUUCUUUGCCCAUUUUUUCAGACUUGUGUCUGUCUGUUGCCAUCUGGUCUGCAGUGUGUAGCAGGAAGUAACACACAAAGUAAAACCAACUGUGGGUAUGAUACUAGCAAACGCAGCUCCUCACAUUUCAUGAAGGCUUGAAAACUCCAGUAGUUUUCCCAGAUUUGUAGCUGUCAUCUGAGGUGAAGUAGCAAAACAGAUUUUUGAAUGUGCCAAUGAAUAGCUACCAUCAAUGCACCUCUGUCCCUGAAGCAAAUGAAUUAUUGCCAAUGAUUAAGCAGAGCAUGUUAAUGCAUUAUGUUUAAAAGUCUAAUAGGUAGCUAAUGAGAGUGUUUUGUGGACAACUGGGCCACAGUGUGCUGUGACAUUUACCUUACAGUAGUUUUGAGAAUCCUUGAGAUCCACCAAUCUUUUGUAGAACUUUUAGCACUUCAAGGCAUACAAGCUGCUUAGGAAAUCUCUGCCCCAUACGGCUUUCUAGUUCUUACAUUCUUCUCACUAGUCCUUAGGCUUGGAAGUCCUUAGGCUUGCAAAUGAACCAAAGGUGUUGGGAAUACACUUGGAUGUCCUGAAUAUUUUUUCAGCAAAGCUAGACUGUUUGGAUUCCUGUCCCAGGAAAUUCUAGUUCAUUUGACCCAUUUUUGUCUUUCUGAAGUCCAACUGAAAAAGAAAAAUACAUUCCAACUCUAAAGGAGAAACACAAUCACUUGAAAACAUAUCCACCAUUGUUCCAUGUGACUGCUAUUAAUUUUUACAUGGAAUCCUCUUAAUCAGAAGGUAUGCAUAAAGCACUGUAUAGCUACAGGCAGAAACACAGGACUUCCUGCUGCUAUAAAAGCAGCAAUACACAUUCAGGUAGAAAAUUACUGCACUGAAUCAUUCAAAAGCUGG
ensembl:lncRNA